UACGGAGGGUGCGAGCGUUGUCCGGAAUCACUGGGCGUAAAGGGCGCGUAGGUGGCGCGACAAGUCAACGGUGAAAGCUCGGCGCUCAACGCCGAGUCGGCCGUCGAUACUGUUGGGCUGGAGCACUGUAGAGGCAGAUGGAAUUCCGGGGUGUAGCGGUGGAAUGCGUAGAGAUCCGGAGGAAGACCGGUGGCGAAGGCGGUCUGCUGGGCAGUUUCUGACACUGAGGCGCGACACGUGGGGAGCAAACAGG
rnacentral:rRNA from 1 species